CCGCCUCCCCACAUCCUGCGCACAGCUCCGGCUUCCCGCUUAGCGUCCUUCAGAAGUAAUUAAUGCAGAGGGCCGUAUGCUGAUUCCGCAGAGCCCAUUAAUCACUUUUGCUGAGGCACGGGGACUGUUUGUACAGAGUUUGCAGAGAUUAUCGCCCUGGCUCCGGGAUUUGUCACGCUGCAUUACAAAUGGUGCUUUAGUGAGCUCCUGGGGUCCCGGGGGACGUAACCUGUCUGAGGCAAAGGCAAAUAUUGUCAAGCAGCAGAGGUUUCCCAAGAAGGGGCUUAUCUGUUCCAGAUUGCUUGAUCAUAUAAAUAGGACUUCAAUAUGAGAUACAUAUGCAAUUAAUUCCUCAAGGGUUACAUUUGAUAAUAGCACAGAAAUUAAUCUUCAGUCACAGAAAUAACAUUAGCUGUUUCAGAGAAUUCAAGUAAAAGCCUGUAGAGAUAUCCACUAUCAACAAUAUUCCUUCAUUUCCCCUUUUGAUAGAAUAUUGUUAUUAUUAUUGCUGUAACCUGCUGAGAUUUCUGUUUUGAACAUGUUCUAACAGGGAUUAAUUCAUCAGUAACCAAAGGAAAGGGUACAGCAGCCACAAAACAGCCAUCCUCAAGCACUGUCCUACGUGAGGGCUCCCGGCUUUGAGAUCCAGUCUCCCAUCCACAAUCUGCUAGAAGGAUGACCCAAGAUGGGACACACUCAAAUAUACAAAAAAAGUGGUUCUUAUCACUAGGCAGGGGGAAGAUUCUGGCUAUGGACAUGCAGCCACAAAGCCUUUGAGGACUACGAGAACUGUGGCAGGGCAUGCAAAGAGGCAGCCAAGAAAGCUAAGGCUCAGCUAGACCUGAAAUUAGCCAGAGAUGUCAAGAAAAAUAAGAAAUUGGUAUUCAGCCAUAUGACAAAAAGCAGAAUCAGAAACAGCUCUCAGCUCUGGGUUGUUUUUAAUUGGACCCUUGUUAACAGCUUCGUUGUUUCCCUGUAUCCAUACACAAAGCACAGCUGCAUGCUCUCCCUCUCAACCGCAGGAGAAGAAAUCAGAAAACAAAGUCGCCCCGAGGGAGCCCAGCCUGUCUCUUCUAUAACAAGCUGUAGCAACUUCUACAAAAUGACUGCCUCUGUGUGCAGACAGCUGAGCUCCCUGAGACAAAUCUGGGGCUUGGAGUGCACAGACAUAAUAAUUACCAGAAAUACAUCACAAGCCCCUUUCCUGGCAUUAGUUAGGCCAUUCCUAAAUCACAAGGUGCAGUCUCUCUCUCACUCCCGACUCUCUUGGUACAAAAACUUUUGCUUUCUGUCAUUCUCUCUCAGAACACUGCAAUUUUUCUCCCUUAAAUUGUAAAUGAUAACACCUGCUGGGGCUCUUAUUUGUUCAUUCCCGUAUCUCUGGCUGCUCCCUGUGUGAGAUAUUACGCCCACACAGAGGUAUGAAAUAUACAGUAGCUGUUUGUGAAACUUCUAUAUGAAAGAUGCGGUGAAUAUAAAUAAUGGUAUUGUUGCCAUGUUCUUCAUCUUGUAUCUGACAGAACAUGUUCAAGAAACUCCAGGAGCACUAUAAAGCUGAUGGAGAAGUCAUUCACACUGUAUCAGUGUAGCUGAAAACAAAUGAGCAGGACUAAUCUGGACAUCCUAUUUUCCUUUCACCACCAGAAUGUAUUUAUUCCUCAAGUCAUACCAUAUUCAUAUUUACUUUAAUGAUUCAUAAACAUCCCAGGUUCCAGAAGCUUCUAAUUAACUCAUCUAUUUAGUGUCAUUAACAGAUGCCCAGGGAGUGAUUUAUUGUGCAGUACCGGAUCACGCUAACAUAUAAAUCCAGCCAAUUGAAUUGGCAGGCAGUCUAGGUAAAUAUCUUCUGCUGCUUGUAGAUGAGACUCCAUCCUAAAUUCAACAUUAAUGCCCUGCAGACUGUGGCUGAUGUAUUAUUGUUUUCUUCCUCUAUUACUCUGCACAUGUAGCAUACAUUGUAUUGUAUAACACUGGUUAUUUCCCCUGUCUUUUUAAAGAAAAAAAAAAAAAAGACUUAGUGAGCUGCUCCUAGGAUUUGGGGUAUAUUUUUAUACUGUCUGAGAAAAGAGGAAAUCAAUAGCCCCAAAGAAGUUUUUGAUCAAGCUCCUUUUGAUUUACCUCUGGCUUCUGUAGUUUCAAAACUGAAGCCAGUCUCUCUAACACCCUAGAGCAAAACAAUCCUAAACUUCAUGAGAACAGUUAUAUUGGGAACCCUGUCUGUAGCAGAGUUCUGGCCACAACUCCAGCCUUUUUAUUGAUAAAUAAGGCAGUGGCUUUUGGGGCAGUACGUGGACUGAACACCUUUGGCAGCAAAGUUGGCUCUGUGGGUGCUCCCACAGCGGUGUUUCUCACAGGCCUAGGGAUGCUCCUAGAGAUUCACACUGCUGAAUUCCUAGAGGCACUUGCCAAGGUUCACAGCCUGGGCCAGCUAAACCUCGCCGAACCUGGCAGGCAGAGCAGCGCAGCCCGAGAGCCCCCGCGGGGAGCGCUGACAGCGGCGUGAGCCGGGAGAGCCCAGCCGGGCAGGGCCGGCCGCGCUCGGUGUGACCGGCUGCUCCCAGGGUCACAGGUUUAACGGGGUAAACACAGCCACUCUGCUGCACUUGGAAGCUAGGUGGGCUUCUCUUUCUAUUUCAAAGCAGUAAAACAUGCAGUCUGAUUGCCUGUGCUUGUUGCCUGGGUGGGAGCUCUCUCCCAAAGCUCACAGACAUGCAUGUAUGCAGCAGAGAAAUUUCACAGUUUUUCUCUGAGGAGCUCACUCCCUUUGUAUUCCAGUUCUUCCCAAUGGCAGCACCAUGAGUCAGUUUGUGUUCAAAUGCUAAGGAAACAGAUACAUGCUGUUUUAAAUUCCUUAAGGUGGGAGUCAUUAGAGGACUGUUAAAAUAUUCUCUUUUUUUACAGAAAUUAUGUGUCUGUUCACAGUCUUUAAAAAAAGGUGAAUUUAAGCUUUGUGUUUCAGUGACACUGAAAGGGACUGCUGUAAAUCAUUAGGGUGUUUUCUGCUUUAUUUUUUAGUAAAGUUAAUAUACUUUUAAUUCAGAAUGAGAUUUUGACGGCAAAACAACUCUGCUGUCUGCUCCAAGUUUUACUUGCAGCAGUGAUAUCUGUAAGUGGGUUUCAGGAGGAGGAAGAAGUACAAGCAAUAUUUAUGGAGGAAUGGGAAGUAAAGCUACAUUAAUAUGGGACUGUGCCCAAAGAAGUGAAGGUAUAGGGACUAUGACAGCUUGAGAAAAGUGUCAAACAAAUAUGUUGUAUUAAGGUAUUUCUAGGAGUUACUAAAUUUCUCUUCAGGACUCCAGCAUUCAAUGUGGGAACAACACCACAAUGAGUGCGACUGUUUUAAAUUUCAAUUAGAGCUUUUAUCUUGACUACAGCACCCUUCUGCCCUGCUUCUGUGUCUCACAGUCUGUUCCAAAGAUGCUUAUGGUCUCAUACAGAACAAUGCAGGCACAGCCUGCUCCUAGCAGCUGUGGUGGGAGGAAGGCCUGGGCUGGGGCUGCAGCAAUGUCCCGUGCCACGAGCACAGAGCACACCAUGCACCUCCUGUCCUGGCCAGAUGUGACCCUGCAGUCUGCUAAGACUGGCCAACUCCCAUCACUCAAGCUGGUUUCUCAAACUCCAUGAAACAACUGUGUAUAUAAUUUGAAAAGCCAAUAGAAAGCACCAUAGAUUAUACCUAUGUACUCCAGACAUUCAAGAACCUGUGCAGACAGUGCACAAGAACUACUUUGCAAAUGCAUGAUACACAGGCUAAAGAAUUUAGAACGCACAGCUUAAACCCAUGUAGGCAAGAAGAAAAAAGCUUUCCUUUUAAGAACAUCUCAGUUAAGAAGAAAGGCAUUGAGAAAAGUUAAAACUCUGGCAAGAGAUGACUGGGAACACUGUGAGAGCACACUGAUGCCGUGGCAUGUGCUAUGCCACACACGUCUCUAUUGUCAUUUCAGUCAUUCAGACUCUUAAUACCACCAAACAUUUAAGGAGGCAUACGAAGCAAUAGCUAUUAUAGAAAACCAGGUACUUGAAACUAUUUUAGGAACUGUCUCCUUGUGCUGCUUUAGGCUGGGGUAGUUACUUUACUUCACAGUAGCUGUGCUUUUGGAUUUGUGCGUCAGUGUUGAGAUGUUUGUGUUAUUGCUGAGCGGUGCUUACACAGGGUCAAGGCAUUUUCUGCCUCCCACCUCACCAGCAAGUAGGCAGGGAGACACAAGAAACUGGGAGGGGACGCAGGCAGGGCAGCUGAUUCCAACUGACCCAAGAUAUUCCACAGCAUAUGGCACCAAGCUCAGCAUAUAAAGCUGGGAAAGAAGGUGGGAAGUCAUUUGAAGUGGUGUUUGUCUUCCCAAGUCACCAUUACACCUGAUGGAGCUCUGCUUUCCUGGGGGUGGCUGAACACCUGCCUGUCCAUGGGAAGCUGUGAAUGAAUUCCUUUUUCUGCACUGCUUGUGUUUUGCUUUGCUUGUUUUGCAUGCUUUUUACUUUCCUUAUUGAACUGUCCUUAUCUUAAUCCACGAGUUCUCUCACUUCACCCUUCAAUUCUCUCCAUCCCAACACAGGGCAAGUUGAGUGAAUGGCUGCAUGGGGCUGAGUUACCAGCUGGGGUUAAACCACAACUCUCCUCCAACCCAGUUCUGAUCUGUUCCUAACCUUACAGAACAGCAGAACAGUCAGCAGGGCCUGAGUCCCACCACCCUCAGCUGUUUGUAUUCCAGGAGUCCUGCACAGCUCUGCUAUACUGUGAUGGCAUUAGGUGCUACCUAUUGCUUUGAUUCAGAAAUUUUAAGUUGCAUUUUUGCUAUUAAAAAAGAAAAGAAUAAACUACAAGUGAAAUAGGCAAGGCAAGACUAGAGAUGCCCUUAUAAUGUCAGGAAUAACAACACAAUUGCACACUCUCCGUGAUUUUCUUAAUAAAUAAAGAUCAACACCAAGAGAAGUAUUGGUUCAUGUAGUACUUACAGAGAUAUUUAGGCUGGACAGGGCUUUUGAGGGCAUGUGGUCUCUUUGCAGGAGUUAACUUUUGUCUUCAAACAGAGACAAAUAAGUUAUUGUGUUAUAUUAGAUUAGUUUCAUAAUCUCUAACAGGCCAGCUGUAAAAAAUAGUUUUAUUAAGAUUAGCAACCUCGAUUUAGAAAGAAGUCUAAUAUCCCACUGAAAUCCAUAUGGAGGCCAAGAAACAUUUCUAAAACACUGCUACAUAGCAUGUGAAUUUUAACACAAACUAUGAUGCUGGAGAGAAUAAUGAAAUAUGAGGUUUCCUAAAUAUUUUGUCACAAACCCAAUACUAAACAACAGAAUAAAUUAUUAGGACAACAACCUGCAAAUACUGAGAUACAGUAAUAAGCAGAACCACCUCAUAAAAAUAAAUUUUAAUAUUAACAACUCAAUUUCAUAUGACUGCAUAUUAAUCUAUCUUUUUUUCUCCAAAGUUCAAACAAUGUUCAAGUUCUGUGUUGUCUGCAAAGAUGGGUUUAUUCUCCUUCAUUCUUCUGCACUGACUGCAUUGUUUCUGCUUUAACUCUAUUUCGUUUUCUUUUUCUUCUUUUCUUCUUUUCAGCAGAAG